AAAAAACGACUCUCGGCAACGGAUAUCUCGGCUCUCGCAUCGAU
rnacentral:rRNA from 1 species